UCACCCAGAAGAGUGCUCUCCCCCAUGUCGGCUGAGUCCCGCAGCGGCCUGGGUUCGAAUCCGACCUGCGGCCCUUUGCUGCGAGUCAUCCCCCAUCUCUCUCCCCCUUCCCUGUCUAUCCACUGUCACUAAUAAAGG